UUGAAAUGCUGAUUCCCCUUGUUUAGUUCUGACUCUGGGCAUCAAAAGGAGGCUGGUCCCUGAUGUCCUCAGAGUACGAGAUGGUUCAUAUAGCACUAACAUGUCAGAGAUGUACUUUGGUGCGCGGCCAUGGAGAUGUGGCAGGAUUAAUUGGCUCAGGUGCAGUGGGGAGGAUAAUCACUAGCAGUGGCCUCAUGGGGCGCUAUAAAAAGCAAAGAAGCCUUCACUUGGCCAUGGGCAGCAUUUGGCCAUUGGAACCGCCCACUUCCUGUUUGCACACUUUCCGGUUGGCCUCACAGCACCGGAUGAGAACUGCAGGCACAGAUUUCGAAGCCAAAUACAGCCUCUGCAAUUGAGCGCGCCUCCCAGGUGACGAACAGUCUGUCUGCGCCGGGGACUUUCUGACGCUCCCACCUGCUGAACAGCUGCUGCUUUUUAUAUAUUGAAUUUUAGAAAUAUUUUAAGGAACUGUCACCGCUCGUGAUCAGAAUCCCUGCGGACUCCUGACCAGGAUUCUGCCGGGCCCGGGUGCUCCUCAGCUGCCUCUGAGCCUGAGCAACGGAGGACUAAACGGGGCGUCACGCCUGAAUCCUCCUGCACCACCAACGAGGAUAAAAGCUCGGCCGCGCUCCGUCCUUUGAGCAGCACCCUAGGGGCGGACUUACUCUCACGAGAGUGUCUUUUAUUUUGUUUUAAGCAUUUUUAUACAAUUCUUUUAGAAUUGUGUUUUAAUUGUGCAUUUUAUUGUGUAAUCCACCUUUGUUUCCCCCCCUCCCUCAGUGCUGAGGACUCAGGUGCCAGCCCUGAGUUCUAGGUGGAGGCUAUCCCCCCAGUUUGGAGUGACGUGUCCUUGGGUGAAGGGUUCACAAGUGUGUGUGGUCUGCAUCACGUGAGUGGGGUGAAAUUUUAUCUUUGUUCUCUGGGAGCCUCCACCUCCCUUAAGUCUUCUGGUCCUCAGCAUACUGAAUCUGUUUGUGCAUGUCUUUUAAACGGGUCCAUUUUUAAUUGGUUUUAACGUUUUGUAAUAAAACAAUUUUAUUCUUGAUACCUCCGUCUCCUGCCUGUUUGUGUGCAUCUGCCAAAAGAAAAAUAAACUCCCUCGGGACCACAAUUGGCGUUGUCGGCAGGAUCGCACACUUGGCAAAGACGUGUGGUUUUUAAAGUUAAAUUAUAUUGUGCUUUUGGUCACACGCAGACCGAACAUUUUAGUUCUGUUUUUAACUAUUUAUUUUUUAAGAAGCAGCAGCUAGUUCCGCUCGGAAGUGAGGAAGGUGAUUAGUCUCAGGUAACUUGGGGUCCUAAUAAGCCGGAAGAGUGAUAGAUUUUAUUUUU